AUUGAACGCUAGCGGCAUGCUUAACACAUGCAAGUCGAACGGCAGCGCGGGGAGCUUGCUCCCUGGCGGCGAGUGGCGGACGGGUGAGUAAUGCGCAGGAAUCUGCCUUAUAGUGGGGGAUAACCCGGGGAAACUCGGGCUAAUACCGCAUAAUCUCUACGGAGCAAAGCGGGGGACCUUCGGGCCUCGUGCUAUAAGAUGAGCCUACGUCGGAUUAGCUAGUUGGUGGGGUAAUGGCCUACCAAGGCGACGAUCCGUAGCUGGUCUGAGAGGACGAUCGGCCACACUGGGACUGAGAAACGGCCCAGACUCCUACGGGAGGCAGCAGUGGGGAAUAUUGGACAAUGGGGAAAACCCUGAUCCAGCAAUGCCGCGUGUGUGAAGAAGGCCUUCGGGUUGUAAAGCACUUUCGGUGGGGAAGAAAGACUUAAGGGUAAUAUCCUUAAGGGUUGACGUUACCCACAGAAGAAGCACUGGCUAACUCUGUGCCAGCCGCCGCCGUAACAC
rnacentral:rRNA from 1 species